UACGGAGGGUGCAAGCGUUAUCCGGAUUUAUUGGGUUUAAAGGGUCCGUAGGCGGCUCUGUAAGUCAGUGGUGAAAUCUCACAGCUUAACUGUGAAACUGCCAUUGAUACUGCAGGUCUUGAGUGUUAUUGAAGUAGCUGGAAUAAGUAGUGUAGCGGUGAAAUGCAUAGAUAUUACUUAGAACACCAAUUGCGAAGGCAGGUUACUAAGCAACAACUGACGCUGAUGGACGAAAGCGUGGGGAGCGAACAGG
rnacentral:rRNA from 1 species